UACGAAGGGUGCAAGCGUUAAUCGGAAUUACUGGGCGUAAAGCGUGCGUAGGCGGUUUCUUAAGUCUGCUGUGAAAGCCCCGGGCUCAACCUGGGAAUGGCGGUGGAUACUGAGAAGCUGGAGUACGGUAGAGGAAGGUGGAAUUCCCGGUGUAGCGGUGAAAUGCGUAGAGAUCGGGAGGAACAUCAGUGGCGAAGGCGACACGCUGGGCCAUACCUGACGCUAAAGCGCGAAAGCAUGGGGAGCAAACGGG
rnacentral:rRNA from 1 species